CCACACAAGACCGCCCACCCUCUGUUCGCCCAAAAAUCCCCGUGACUGCACGAUUCUUGACGAAAUCGCACAACCGCAGAGCGUGCUACCUUCUGAGCACGCUAUUGGCUCGAGUUCUCUUUACGCUCAAAACGUUUUUACCGAGGCAAAGUCGUUCCAAGAGAUAAAAAAGAUAAUUUGCUGACAUCCCGUAACCCUGCUCCCCUGUUCUUCUUCUAACCGGGAUGCAUUGCCCAUAAGAUGGUGAUAUAACCUGUUAAUUUCUCUGAAAUCUUAGCUAAGAAGUAAGAAGCAUCCACUGUCACGCUGUCCAUCCAACGACAAGUCAAUGGCAAAAUAAACAUGAUGAUGACAGGCCUUCAUCUCCUCUAUAAUUAAGAGGCCAAGCUUCCCGGAUCUUUACCCAAACACACCCUCACAUUCCAUCCCUUUUCAUCAUCAUGCCGCCCAGACCCAGGCCGCCACCACCCGGCCCGCCGCCUCCUCGCCCGGAACCACCCAGGCCACCACCACCCAGACCUGAACCGCCGCCACCCAGACCGGAGCCUAGACCAAGGCCGCCACCAGCAGGCCCGCCGCCUCCUCGCCCGGAACCACCCAGGCCGCCACNNNNNNNNNNNNNNNNNNNNCCGCCACCAGCAGGCCCGCCGCCUCCUCGCCCGGAACCACCCAGGCCGCCACCGCCCAGACCUGAACCGCCGCCACCCGGCCCUCCGCCACCCUGACCAGAACCAUGAGGGCCGCGACCACCCGGUCGCAGCAUCAUCACCAUGGACCGCGCGGCCCGCCUCCCCCAUGAUCACACCGUCUACUAGCAAUGGUAUGGAGAUUGGAUUUUGACAAAUAUUGUGGAAUUCUUCGAGAAAGAUGCCGGUGUUUUUUUUUCGCCCCCGAGGAAAACAGAGACGCCGGUGUUAUGUUGUUCACGCGCGAGCCACGAUUCCCGCCCUUGCCAGUUAUGUAAAAUAUAGUCGUGUUUGCACGUCUAAUAAGUGUGUUGAUUGAUGUAUAAAUAGUUGUUGCUUUUGUUAUGAUUCGUCUUACCCAAAUUGAGGCUGCAUACGGUAAUGUUUCUAUUUUUUUAAUUUAAAAAAAAAGAGAAUUUUUUUCUCAGAUUUUUUUUUUCUAAAUAAUAAAAGAGG
rnacentral:lncRNA from 1 species